GCUGGGCAUGGUGGCAAUAUCUGUAGUCCCAGCUGCUUGGGAGUCUGAAGCAGGGAAUUUGAAUUUGGGUUUGGGAAUUCUAGGCUGUAGUGCACUAUGCCGAUCUAAGUUGGGCAUCAGUAUGGUGACCUCUGUGGAGUGGGGCACCACCAGGUUGCCUAAAGAGGGGUAAACUGACCUAGGUUGGAAACAGAACAAGUCAAAACUCCUGUGCUGAUAAGUAGUGGGAUCAAGCCUGUGAAUAGCCACUGCAUUCCAGCUGGGCAACAUAAAUAGACCCUGUCUCUU
ensembl:misc_RNA Metazoa_SRP Metazoan signal recognition particle RNA